rnacentral:rRNA from 1 species
CCUACGGGCGGCAGCAGUCGAGAAUCAUUCACAAUGGGGGAAACCCUGAUGGUGCGACGCCACGUGGGGGAAUGAAGGUCUUCGGAUUGUAAACCCCUGUCAUGUGGGAGCAAAUUAAAAAGAUAGUACCACACGAGGAAGAGACGGCUAACUCUGUGCCAGCAGCCGCGGUAAUACAGAGGUCUCAAGCGUUGUUCGGAAUCACUGGGCGUAAAGCGUGCGUAGGCUGUUUCGUAAGUCGUGUGUGAAAGGCGCGGGCUCAACCCGCGGACGGCACAUGAUACUGCGAGACUAGAGUAAUGGAGGGGGAACCGGAAUUCUCGGUGUAGCAGUGAAAUGCGUAGAUAUCGAGAGGAACACUCGUGGCGAAGGCGGGUUCCUGGACAUUAACUGACGCUGAGGCACGAAGGCCAGGGGAGCGAAAGGGAUUAGAUACCCCGGUAGUC